UACAGAGGGUGCUAACGUUGUUCGGAAUCACUGGGCCUAAAGCGCACGUAGGCGGCUUGGUAAGUGCGGUGUGAAAGCCCCCGGCCUAACCGGGGAACUGCAUCGCAGACUGCCAGGCUCGAGAGCGGUAGGGGAGACUGGAACUCCUGGUGGAGCGGUGAAAUGCGUAGAUAUCAGGAGGAACACCGGUGGUGAAAACGAGUCUCUGGUCCGCUUCUGACGCUCAGGUGCGAAAGCUAGGGGAGCAAACGGG
rnacentral:rRNA from 1 species